rnacentral:rRNA from 1 species
AGAGAGAGACAUGCGCGCAUAUCAAUUAAGCGGAGGAAAAGAAACUAACAAGGAUUCCCUUAGUAACGGCGAGUGAAGCGGGAAGAGCUCAAAUUUGGAAUCUUCAAGGUUCUACCUUGACGAAUUGUAGUUUAUAGAAGUGUUUUCUGUUAGUGGAGUGGCAAAAGUUCUUUGGAAUAGGACAUCAUAGAGGGUGAGAAUCCCGUAUUUGGUCAUUCCUCCUAGCGUUGUGAUACACUUUCAACGAGUCGGAUUGUUUGGGAAUGCAGUCCAAAAUGGGUGGUAAAUUUCAUCUAAAGCUAAAUAUUGGCGAGAGACCGAUAGCGAACAAGUACCGUGAGGGAAAGAUGAAAAGAACUUUGAAAAGAGAGUUAAACAGUACGUGAAAUUGUCAAAAGGGAAGCGUUUGACACCAGUGUUGUUUUUCCGAAAAUCAAUUACGAAUGUUUUAGUUUUUGAGGAGUUAUGACUUCAUCGGCUUGCUCCUUUCUUUAUGAAACUUUCUUAAUGCACUUUUCGGUUAACAAGUCAACAUCAAUUUCUUUUGUUGUAAAAGGGUAUGAGGAAGGUGGCUUUCUUUUCGGAGAAAGUGUUUAUAGCCUUGUGCCUCUGCAAUCGGAGAGAUUGAGGUCUGCAGCGUAGAUCCUUCGGGGUUAGAUACAUUUGUGCUAAGUUAUAGCUUUUCGAUAGACAACUUGUUGACUAUGUUUAGUCUUGUAGCUUACUCGCUUAUGCUAUUUUACCUACGCUUAGGAUGUUGAUAGUCACAGCGUGUAC